rnacentral:rRNA from 1 species
GACGAACGCUGGCGGCGUGCUUAACACAUGCAAGUCGAGCGGUAAGGCUCCUUCGGGAGUACACGAGCGGCGAACGGGUGAGUAACACGUGAGCAAUCUGCCCUUCACAUCGGGAUAAGCACCGGAAACGGUGUCUAAUACCGAAUACGACCGCUUCCGGCAUCGGCUGGUGGUGGAAAGUUCCGGCGGUGAAGGAUGAGCUCGCGGCCUAUCAGCUUGUUGGUGGGGUAACGGCCCACCAAGGCUUCGACGGGUAGCCGGCCUGAGAGGGUGACCGGCCACACUGGGACUGAGACACGGCCCAGACUCCUACGGGAGGCAGCAGUGGGGAAUAUUGGACAAUGGGCGAAAGCCUGAUCCAGCAACGCCGCGUGAGGGAUGACGGCCUUCGGGUUGUAAACCUCUUUCAGCAGGGACGAAGCGCAAGUGACGGUACCUGCAGAAGAAGCACCGGCCAACUACGUGCCAGCAGCCGCCGUAACAC